UUUUAUAUACUUUCUCGAAUAUAUGUUGUAUUUCCUUGCAACAGAGAACUUGUCUGCCAGUAAUGCAUGAUCCUCUGAAGAGGAGACUCGAUUCCCAGUGGUUGAAGGGUCACCAUGAAUUUCCUAGCACCGUGGAUGUCACAGAAGAGAGAGGAAAAAUGGUUGACUUCGAUGCACAGCUCUGCUAGAUUCAAGGGAACCAAACGGAAUCUGAUUUGAACACCGAUCAAAACAACUACGUACUACUACUGGAUAGAAGUGGAUCCAUGCCACUGCUAUUUAAGCUUAUUUUUAAAGGUAUAACGACGUCUGGAAUUCUGGCAAAGAUAGAAGUACGAAGAAUGUUACAUAGCAAGGGAUUCAGUGUUGCUAGAUUUCUGGAGAAUUAAGACCAGAGCGGAGUCGUGGAAUACUGCUGAAGAAAGGGCAGUACAAGAUUAGUUUAAAUACUGCAUUCAGGAUUGUUGGUAUCGUGGAUGCUGAUAACCAAGACAAAAUGGAAGACAUUUGGAGGUUGAUAGCUACGUUUAGUUAUGUUGAAAGUGGAUUGUGAUGAAGAUGACAAGCAAAAUGGAAUGAAGACCAAGUUAAUGGCUACGUUCAGGGUCAUUACAAUUGUGGAUGGCAAUCAGACGACACUGAAGAUAUUGAGGGUUGUUAGAAUUGUCGAUGGUGAUCGAAACGACACUGAAGAUAGAAUGGAAGGCAUUGAAUAGUGAACUGUAUUACUGAUGCAGUACAAUUACUGGAAAAUAUUGGGUAAUGAACU